UGAAGCAAGGUGCCACGUGUCAUACUGU
rnacentral:piRNA from 1 species